rnacentral:rRNA from 1 species
UAUUGAAGGAAGUUCUUCGGAAUGGAAAUUGAUAUUCUAGCGGCGGACGGGUGAGUAACGCGUGAGCAAUCUGUCCCAGACAGGGGGAUAACAGAUGGAAACAUCUGCUAAUACCGCAUAAGACCACGGGAUCACAUGGUUCUGGGGUAAAAGAUUUAUCGGUUUGGGGUGGGCUCGCGUCCGAUUAGGUAGUUGGUGAGGUAACGGCCCACCAAGCCGACGAUCGGUAGCCGACCUGAGAGGGUGAUCGGCCACAUUGGGACUGAGACACGGCCCAAACUCC